rnacentral:rRNA from 1 species
UCUAAUACCGGAUAACACUUCUGCUCUCAUGGGCAGGGGUUAAAAGCUCCGGCGGUGAAGGAUGAGCCCGCGGCCUAUCAGCUUGUUGGUGAGGUAAUGGCUCACCAAGGCGACGACGGG